CCUCGGUUGGCGACUAGGCGUCGUGAAAUAAGUCGGAGGGACCGUCGAGGUCUUUAUUCGCUCGAACUCGUCCGGGUAGAUCAGUUGGGCGGAACCGCAGGCCAACAGGCCGAUGAACAUCAGCGUGAACGCCAUUUCUAGAGGCGAGAAUUCCUGGUCGAUAACGGUUGCGUCGAUUGUCAGGGGACAUCGGUUGAUAGCGGAGAACUACGCCGGAUUGUUGCUUCUCCUGUCGCGUGUGUCGCGUACCGACUCGUCCUUUCGAAGGAUCUUCGACCACGGUGUCCUUCCUCCGAUUUCCCUCGAAUAACACCGAAUCGAUUCUGGAUCGGGCCUCCGAUGGACCGUUACGCGUAGGUCGCG